GGGUUGUGAGGUUAAGCGACUAAGCGUACACGGUGGAUGCCCUGGCAGUCAGAGGCGAUGAAGGACGUGCUAAUCUGCGAUAAGCGCCGGUAAGGUGAUAUGAACCGUUAUAACCGGCGAUUUCCGAAUGGGGAAACCCAGUGUGAUUCGUCACACUAUCAUUAACUGAAUCCAUAGGUUAAUGAGGCGAACCGGGGGAACUGAAACAUCUAAGUACCCCGAGGAAAAGAAAUCAACCGAGAUUCCCCCAGUAGCGGCGAGCGAACGGGGAGGAGCCCAGAGCCUGAAUCAGCAUGUGUGUUAGUGGAAGCGUCUGGAAAGGCGCGCGAUACAGGGUGACAGCCCCGUACACAAAAGCGCAUGUGCUGUGAGCUCGAUGAGUAGGGCGGGACACGUGGUAUCCUGUCUGAAUAUGGGGGGACCAUCCUCCAAGGCUAAAUACUCCUGACUGACCGAUAGUGAACCAGUACCGUGAGGGAAAGGCGAAAAGAACCCCGGCGAGGGGAGUGAAAAAGAACCUGAAACCGUGUACGUACAAGCAGUGGGAGCACAGGUUUACCUGUGUGACUGCGUACCUUUUGUAUAAUGGGUCAGCGACUUAUAUUCUGUAGCAAGGUUAACCGUAUAGGGGAGCCGGAGGGAAACCGAGUCUUAACCGGGCGUUAAGUUGCAGGGUAUAGACCCGAAACCCGGUGAUCUAGCCAUGGGCAGGUUGAAGGUUGGGUAACACUAACUGGAGGACCGAACCGACUAAUGUUGAAAAAUUAGCGGAUGACCUGUGGCUGGGGGUGAAAGGCCAAUCAAACCGGGAGAUAGCUGGUUCUCCCCGAAAGCUAUUUAGGUAGCGCCUCGUGAAUUCAUCUCCGGGGGUAGAGCACUGUUUCGGCUAGGGGGCCAUCCCGGCUUACCAACCCGAUGCAAACUGCGAAUACCGGAGAAUGUUAUCACGGGAGACACACGGCGGGUGCUAACGUCCGUCGUGAAGAGGGAAACAACCCAGACCGCCAGCUAAGGUCCCAAAGUCAUGGUUAAGUGGGAAACGAUGUGGGAAGGCCCAGACAGCCAGGAUGUUGGCUUAGAAGCAGCCAUCAUUUAAAGAAAGCGUAAUAGCUCACUGGUCGAGUCGGCCUGCGCGGAAGAUGUAACGGGGCUAAACCAUGCACCGAAGCUGCGGCAGCGACACUCAGGUGUUGUUGGGUAGGGGAGCGUUCUGUAAGCCUGUGAAGGUGGCCUGUGAGGGUUGCUGGAGGUAUCAGAAGUGCGAAUGCUGACAUAAGUAACGAUAAAGCGGGUGAAAAGCCCGCUCGCCGGAAGACCAAGGGUUCCUGUCCAACGUUAAUCGGGGCAGGGUGAGUCGACCCCUAAGGCGAGGCCGAAAGGCGUAGUCGAUGGGAAACGGGUUAAUAUUCCCGUACUUGGUGUUACUGCGAAGGGGGGACGGAGAAGGCUAUGUUGGCCGGGCGACGGUUGUCCCGGUUUAAGCGUGUAGGUGUGUGUUCCAGGUAAAUCCGGUUCACUUUAACACUGAGGCGUGACGACGAGGCACUACGGUGCUGAAGCAACAAAUGCCCUGCUUCCAGGAAAAGCCUCUAAGCAUCAGGUAACAUCAAAUCGUACCCCAAACCGACACAGGUGGUCAGGUAGAGAAUACCAAGGCGCUUGAGAGAACUCGGGUGAAGGAACUAGGCAAAAUGGUGCCGUAACUUCGGGAGAAGGCACGCUGACACGUAGGUGAAGUGAUUUACUCAUGGAGCUGAAGUCAGUCGAAGAUACCAGCUGGCUGCAACUGUUUAUUAAAAACACAGCACUGUGCAAACACGAAAGUGGACGUAUACGGUGUGACGCCUGCCCGGUGCCGGAAGGUUAAUUGAUGGGGUCAGCGCAAGCGAAGCUCCUGAUCGAAGCCCCGGUAAACGGCGGCCGUAACUAUAACGGUCCUAAGGUAGCGAAAUUCCUUGUCGGGUAAGUUCCGACCUGCACGAAUGGCGUAAUGAUGGCCAGGCUGUCUCCACCCGAGACUCAGUGAAAUUGAACUCGCUGUGAAGAUGCAGUGUACCCGCGGCAAGACGGAAAGACCCCGUGAACCUUUACUAUAGCUUGACACUGAACAUUGAGCCUUGAUGUGUAGG
rnacentral:rRNA from 1 species